rnacentral:rRNA from 1 species
GUCUAUGGCCAUGCCACCCUGACUAUGCCAGAUCGCGUCUGAUCUCAGAAGCUAAGCAGAGUCAGGCCUGGUUAGUACUUGGAUGGGAGACCACCUAGGAAUACCAGGCACUGUAGGCG